rnacentral:antisense_RNA from 20 species
UUCUAUGGCGGGCCGGGCGGGGCAGCCUUCGGGCUGGCCGGUACCUUGUGCGCCGGUUUUCGACCCCCGCUGUCGGGCCCGCCACCCCU